AAAUCAUUUUGGGGACAAUUCCUUAUCAAUCCUUUGUAGCGUUCCCAUGCCUCAUAGAUUGACUCCCUCGGUUGUUGCUCGAAAUUUGCUAUUGCUUUCUUGAGUUU